UUUGUCCUUUCAGUCUAUAUUUCAUUUCAAUUCUUUCUCUUUUUCCUUGCAGAAAUGAUAUUUGCUUUAAGUUUUCCCUUUCGUCAUUUACAGUUAGAGGUUUGAAAUUGGAAAUUCUACUAAUUCUUUAUUCUCUGUGCAUGCAGAUUAUACUCCUGAGGAUCAAUUCACGUGUCACGUGUAAGGAGGCUUAUAUGACAAAGAAAGGGAGAACCCAUGAAGAUAGAUAUGCACUUGUUUAUUAUUUUGAAUCAAGUAAUCAGAUGGCCGUCGACACAGUUCUCUUGCGGACAUGGCGUUUUGGUUGAGACAGAGCAUGGGAAGUGCCCAUUCCAAAGAUUAGCACUAUUAUUUUUCAGAAUCUGCCAGUACUUUAACUUGCCCCUUCAAUAUGCAAGGUUAUGUUUUGAUGCUUGAUCUUUUAUUACACUUGACCAAGAGACUUAAUAAUACUUCUGUCACCAUGCAUUUGGGGCAAAGAUAUAAACUCAUCAUGUAUCACAUUUGAGAAUCUCAAGGUAAAGGAUAUUGUUUUAAAGCAUUGAUCAAAAUCCUUGGGUUAAAGUGGCAGGCAGCAUAACAAUACUGAGGAUUAAUGUUGCCUUGUUGACAUUUUAAUUUAUGUUGAGACUUGAGAUUAGUUAGUUGGUGUGAACCCCUUCUCUAUGAUUUCAGGAACAAUAAAUGGUGAUGUGUGGGCCUUGGAAAUCAAAUAUGUUCCAAACUUGCAGCUGUAGAUGUCAACCAAACCCCAAACAUGUUGCCCGCCUCAGUCUUGCGAACCCUCUGUUUCUUCCCAUCUCAUUGGUCAAUAUUGUGGCAGUUCUGCCAACUAAGAUGAAGUGAAGAUAUCUAAACCUGUAACGUUUCAGUGGCUCUCCUUCACAUGCAAGUGACAUCAUUAGAAUUUGAAUGAUAGGUUAUACAAACAGAAUGUUCCUAAUAGCUUAUAAUCAUCUUUUUCUUUAGCUUCUUUUUGCUUGCAUGUGCUACAUUUGAUGUUUUUUCUUUUUUUUGAUAGUUUAGUAUUAUACUUCCAUUGAAGAUGCUUUUGGUUGA